AUAACUCAAACCUAAUGACUAAUGUUUAUGAAAAAGGUUUUAACAAAGGUGGCCAUUGGAACCACAAAGAAUCACUUGAAGUGAGUUGUAUUUACAAGUUAAAAAUAUUCACAAAAAAUGAAGUCAAAGUUGACUUAAGGUUCAUUCAAUAUAAGUGUUAAUGGAAAGAGUUUGAAAAAAAUCAAAGGCAUAUGGCCUAGGUUUCUAGUUUUGAAAACAAUGUCAAUGUUUGCACAAAAUGAGUUUGGCUUGGGUUGGAGUGGAAAGAAGAA
rnacentral:lncRNA from 1 species